rnacentral:tRNA from 1 species
UGGCUCAGACGGUAAAGUGUCUGCUUGCAAUGCAGGAGACCCAGGUUCGAUCCCUGG